GUAGUCCUUUACAACUGCACAGUUUUUCCGGUUGUUCAGGAUGGCAAUAGGAUGCCAGUUUGGAUUCGGUUAACUGCCGAAUAAAAACACUGAAUGACCGAUUGAUUUUAUUCCGCACGUACAUUUUGACUGUUUCCUCUUCAGUUAAAGGUAUAUUAUUUCAUCACCACUGUUCAGAAAGCAUAAAAGCAAGAGAAGGAACAUGAAACAUUUUCCUCGCUUCACUGCGACGAAAAUUCGAAAACAACAUCGGUGGGACUAAUAACUUUUCGGUUGCAUGGAUUGUUGGGAUUGCUUACCAAAAGUC
rnacentral:lncRNA from 1 species